CAUGCUUUACUUCAGAUAGAGCUUAGUCGCCACUAGAUAAUGUAUAAUCACAGCUGCUACUGUCCACGUUUGUGUUCAUAAUUAUAAAACAGGUAAUUGUGACAAAUGUCCCGCAGGAAUUCGCCAGUUCAAAGCACAAUCGUGAUUCCCAGUUAAACAGGGUUACGGAACAAGGCUGUGUAUGAAGAGUAGCUGUGCCAGAGGCCAUCAUUGACGUCAAACAGUGUGGAUGCCUUUAGAAAUAGACGAUAUUAAACUUCCUGUAAUUAAAAGUUUGGAAUGUUUUCAGUUGAUUGAGAAUCAUUUUAUUUUUAAAAUGCUGAAUUCUACCAAUACGAUUUUAUUUAUAUACUUCUAAAGAAUCCAAUUAUUAUUUUGACGCAAUAGAAAUGGUUUCUGUUUGUAAUGAGAAUAAAACAAUUAUAACAAA